CAAUUUGUCCAACAGUAUACCUGACAUUUUAGCAUGCAUUCAUCACUGAUGUUACACAGAAAAACAUGAUGGAUAUCAAGUAACAACUGAUGUGAUAUUCAGAUUCCUAGCAUAAGAUGCAAGAAGUGAACUGAAUCUCAACUCUCAAGCAUUUGGAUAUUUGGAUCGUUUAGCUAAAGUCAUAAACUUUCUACAAUUCAAAUUUAUACUACCAGGAACAACUGGGACUGUAUAUGGGGUCAGAUAACCAAACCAGUUUGAACCAAUGAACAUAAUACAGUUGCAAAAUUGCAUAUACCUGAUUCCAAGCUGCAAAUUGAGCAUCAAGACGGAACUUCUGUGCCCUUUAAUGAUUGUGACAUACUUUAUGUUGAUUUGCUGGUU
rnacentral:misc_RNA from 1 species